GAUGAAGAACGUAGCGAAAUGCGAUAAGUAAUGUGAAUUGCAGAAUUCAGUGAAUCAUCGAAUCUUUGAACGCACAUUGCGCCCCCUGGUAUUCCGGGGGGCAUGCCUGUUCGAGCGUCAUUUCACCACUCAAGCCUCGCUUGGUAUUGGGCAACGCGGUCCGCCGCGUGCCUCAAAUCGACCGGCUGGGUCUUCUGUCCCCUAAGCGUUGUGGAAACUAUUCGCUAAAGGGUGUUCGGGAGGCUACGCCGUAAAACAACCCCAUUUCUAAGGUUGACCUCGGAUCAGGUAGGAAGACCCGCUGAACUUAAGCAUAUCAAUAAGCGGAGGA
rnacentral:misc_RNA from 1 species